CAGACCUGCUGUUGGGACAAGCAGCAUGAUUAGACGGACAGAGGGCAAGGCCGGGGGUCUGACUGGCCUGGGGUCUCACCCCACCUCUGCCACAUCUGGCCAUGGCUAAGACAGACAUUGGGCCUCAGUUUUGUCCCCUGUGCAGCCCCAGUGCCCGAAUCACAGGCAACAGGGUGAGGUCACGGGAAUGCCCCUAGCUGAGCCCACACUCAGAGCAGCCGCCUCGGCUCCCUCCCCGGAUGGGGAUCGGUGUCCCUCAAAGGGUCAUGGCCCGUCCCAUCCACCCAGGCCAGACCAGCCUCCAGGAGGCCUCUAAAGUGACCGUCACCGUGGGAGACAGAGGCGCUAACCUGAGAGCUUUGUAGAAAUCCAAGUCUUCUUUCUAAGAGAGCCCAACACCCAGAAACUGCCUGUGUCUGAGCUGCAGACCACACCUCAGCCCCAGCACACCGGAGGAAAGCGAGCCCCGGCUUACCGCCGGCAGUCCCACAAAGUGAUGACUUAGCAGGCCUGACCGCCGAUUUCGGUUCUUGUAAUUCCCUACUCCAGAUCGUGUAUAGAACAUUCGACCCUGUCCCCUGCCCGUGACAGCCCUGGCCAGCAGCUGCCAGAAAUAAAUACAUGCAUAUGGGC